GGAAAUGACUGUCUCUUUUUAAUUAAGUUGAACUUUAUUUUUAAGUUAAAAAGCUUAAAUUUAAUAAAAAGACGAGAAGACCCUAUAGAGUUUAAUAGGUUUAUAUUUUUAUAAUUUAGGAUUUUAUUAUAUAAUAAUGUUAACUUAUUUAGUUGGGGUGACUAUAGAAUUUAAUAAACUUCAUUUUUGUAAUCAUUGAUUUAUGAAUAAAUGAUCCUAGUGUUUAGAUUAAAAGAAUAAAUUACCUUAGGGAUAACAGCGUAAUUUUUUUGGAGAGUUCUUAUCGAUAAAAGAGAUUGCGACCUCGAUGUUGGAUUAAAGUUUAUUUUUGGUGCAGAAGCUAAAAUAUUAAGACUGUUCGAC
rnacentral:rRNA from 1 species